AUCGACAUCCUCAGACCCUACUUUGAUGUGGAGCCUGCUCAGGUGCGAAGCAGGCUCCUGGAGUCCAUGAUCCCUAUCAAGAUGGUCAACUUCCCCCAGAAAAUUGCAGGUGAACUCUAUGGACCUCUCAUGCUGGUCUUCACUCUGGUUGCUAUCCUACUCCAUGGGAUGAAGACGUCUGACACUAUUAUCGUAAGCAGGACAGACAACUUUGGGGGGGUGGCUGCACUAGGUUGAAAGCUGCCUGAGGUACGAUGGUGGAGUGAGACAGGAACAGCCCCUGCGGAAGGCCCUAGGUGAGGCUGAGAUCAGAGGCCUCCUAGGACUAAAUAGAGC
rnacentral:sRNA from 1 species